rnacentral:lncRNA from 1 species
AUGAGCAUGGCUGAACUGGACCAACCUGUUUCUCCAACAGCUUAUGAAGAAAGCAAACUGGCUUCUUAUCCUGGCAACACAACUCUGAAAAAGCACCAAGAGACACUGCAGGCAGGACCAGUGAAAUCCAGAGUCAUCUGCGUGAAGCCGAAAUCUGAAGUUGCAGAACAGCAAGGGGGAGAAGCCAAGCCCCAUUUACGCUCCCUUCCCGCGCCUGUCAAGGUACCAUCUGCUGAUAUAGACGACGAGAUUCAGAGCUUCAGUUCUUUCCAUGGGAGUUCGGGCUCAUCUGGAGCAGAUACGCUGUGAGUCCUGCCUCCACGUCCCAGCCCACAAAACCGUAGGCGGCAAGAGAAAGAGUGGGAACAGCUGGAAAUAAUGUAGCUAUCGGCAACAUUUGGACAUCAAAUCCUCGUCCUAAAGUUUUUAAUAUACCACUGUGUGUUUGUGUGUGUGUGACUUGCAUGUGAAUAUGUACGUUUAUUUUUAAAAUAAAAUAUUUCCAUUUUGAAAAUGUGUUUAAUCU